UUUCAAUGCUUUGCUCUGAUGUUCAGCCACAGGAUAUUUCUAAAAGCAGCGUAUCUCUUAGGUCUAAUCUCAACUUUAUACCCAGAUUGUAAAACAAAUAAACUAAAGAA